AUGUUUCCUAAUAACAUUUGGCCAGAAUCCUGGCCUUCCCAUGAUAAUGGCUUAAACUCUCCACUGUCUGAUAUCAAGAAAUUGCACAGGCUGGGGACUGUUUGUAGCAGAGCCUGUUUGAGUAACAUUUGGACCUCACCUUCUGAGUUUCUUCCUGUGCCUCCCCUGGUAUGUCUGGCAGGAUCAGCYGUGGAAGAGCCCUUCCUGACUGUAGUGCUGUGCUUCCAAGCAGUGCUGUAGCAAGUCUGUUCAGGAAUACUUGAAUCGUAGUACUGAGCCAGGCUGUGGAUUCAGGUAGCAUCUCCCCAAGGCUGUGUGUGGUUGCCUGUCCGACGCAGAAUCAGGCUGCUGCGCUCCGAAGUCUAGGCCCCUGCUGCCAUUUCAGCUGUGUUUGGAGUUGAGCAGGUACCAUACAAGUUGCCACUGUACAGAAUGCUGCUGUCA
rnacentral:lncRNA from 1 species